UCUUCGAUAGUAUAGUGGCUAGUAUAUUGCCUUGUCAGGUGCCCUCACACGGCUCCAACGCGGCAGAGACCCGGGUUCAAUUCCCGGUCGAAGAG